rnacentral:lncRNA from 1 species
CGGUGGAGGCUGGGGGGAGACCUCGGGGGGGGAACACAGUGUUUGGGAUCAUCAGGGUGGAGCUGGGAUCCUCGGGAUGGAGCUGGGAUCCUCGGGGUGGAGCUGGGAUCCUCGGGGUGGAGCUGGAUCCUCAGGAUGGAGCUGGAUCCUCGGGGUGGAGCUGGGAUCCUUGGGAUGGAGCUGGGAUCCUUGGGAUGGAGCUGGAUCCUCAGGAUGGAGCUGGGAUCCUUGGGAUGGAGCUGGGAUCCUUGGGAUGGAGCUGGAUCCUUGGGAUGGAGCUGGGAUCCUCAGGAUGGAGCUGGGAUCCUUGGGAUGGAGCUGGGAUCCUCGGGAUGGAGCUGGGAUCUCUGGGAUGGAGCUGGGAUCCUUGGGGUGGAGCUGGGAUCCUCAGGAUGGAGCUGGAUCCUUGGGAUGGAGCGGGAUGCUCAGGAUGGAGCUGGGAUCCUCAGGAUGGAGCUGGGAUCCUCGGGGUGGAGCUGGGAUCCUUGGGAUGGAGCUGGGAUCCUCGGGAUGGAGCUGGGAUCCUUGGGAUGGAGCUGGGAUCCUUGGGAUGGAGCUGGGAUCCUUGGGGUGGAGCUGGGAUCCUCGGGGUGGAACUGGAUCAUCAGGACGGAGCUGGGAUCCCCGGGAUGGAGCUGGAUCCUCAGGAUGGAGCUGGGAUCUUCGGGGUGGAGCUGGAUCCUCGGGAUGGAGCUGGAUCCUCGGGAUGGAGCUGGGAUCUCUGGGAUGGAGCUGGGAUCCUCGGGAUGGAGCUGGGGUGGAGCUGGAUCCUCAGGACAGAGCUGGGAUCCUUGGGAUGGAGCUGGGAUCCUCAGGAUGGAGCUGGGAUCUCUGGGAUGGAGCUGGAUCCUUGGGAUGGAGCUGGGAUCUCUGGGAUGGAGCUGGGAUCCUCGGGAUGGAGCUGGGAUCCUUGGGAUGGAGCUGGGAUCGCCCAGAUGGAGCUGGGAUCUCUGGGAUGGAGCUGGGAUCCUCGGGGUGGAGCUGGAUCCUCGGGAUGGAGCUGGGAUCCUUGGGAUGGAGCUGGGAUCCUCAGGAUGGAGCUGGGAUCCUCAGGAUGGAGCUGGGAUCUCUGGGAUGGAGCUGGGAUCCUCGGGGUGGAGCUGGGAUCUCUGGGAUGGAGCUGGGAUCCCUGGGAUGGAGCUGGGAUCCCCGGGUGCCCGCUGUGUCGUUAUCCGUGGAGCUCGUCCAAGCAUUAAUUACCGGGGGGGGGUGUACGGGGCCGGUCUCGUUAGGACGGUGCCGGCAGCCGUGGCGUGUCGUGGCGCAGCCGUGGGUGGUCGGCCGGAUGUCCCUGUCCUAAUUUGUCCCCANNNNNNNNNNNNNNNNNNNNNNNNNNNNNNNNNNNNNNNNNNNNNNNNNNNNNNNNNNNNNNNNN